UCCUUCACCGAAUUCUCAUGAGUGUUCUUUGGCAGUUGCUACGGUUUCCCUAGGGUUCAGCCAUGCAUCUGGCCACGGCUCUCAUGGCCAGCGAUGCUCUCACGGCCAGCGAUGAUGGAGGCUCUUGUCCCUGUUUUUGAGACAGGGUAUCACUGUGUAGCCCUGGCUGACCUGGAACUCGGCCAGCAUCCUCAGAGCACAUUGAGGUCAAGGGGAGAUGAUCCUCACAGAGGAAGGGACACUGUAAAGCCAAGGAAGUUUGUAUUGAUGUCAACCUUGGCCUCAGGCUGCAGAGAGCACCUCUGGACUAGGGUAAGGCUGUGACUUGCUGACUUCAUCCUCUGGUGGCUGUGUGCUGGUUCCCAACACCACCACUAAAAGAUGAGACACUGGAACCCAGGUGAUAAGGCACCAUCGCUUGUGUCACCCAGAGGCAGUGACUGCCAGCCUGUGAGUCCUGUUCUGAGCCUGUCGCUACCCACAGUGGCAUGUGUUUGUGAGGAGGGAAGGUGUGUGCAUCAGAGUGUAUCUGCGAGGCUUCCUGGACCACCUGUAUGCAGCCCAUGUGCUCUGCAGUCCUUAUAAACUCUUUGGGCAAGAAGCUGCCUGCUCUGCUGGAGCCUG